rnacentral:rRNA from 1 species
UAUACAGGUGUUGCAUGGCGUGUCGUCAGCUCGUGUCGUGAGAUGUUCGGUUAAGUCCGCUAACGAGCGCAACCCUCGUCGUAUGUUAUAUGUGUCAUACGAGACUGCCGGUAAAAGCCGGAGGAAGGUGAGGAUGAUGUCAAGUCAGCAUGACCUUUAUAUCCAGGGCUACACACACGCUACAAUGGUCUGUACAAUGGGUAGCCAAGCCGCGAGGCGGAGCCAAUCCUGAAAGCAGGCCUCAGUUCAGAUUGCAGUCUGCAACUCGACUGCAUGAAGCCGGAGUUGCUAGUAACCGCAGGUCAGCAAUACUGCGGUGAAUACGUUCCCGGGUCUU